GAUGAACGCUAGCGGGAGGCCUAACACAUGCAAGCCGAGCGGUAGAGUUUCUUCGGAAACUUGAGAGCGGCGCACGGGUGCGUAACACGUGUGCAACCUACCUUUAUCUGGGGGAUAGCCUUUCGAAAGGAAGAUUAAUACCCCAUAAUAUAAUGAUUGGCAUCAAUUAUUAUUGAAAACUCCGGUGGAUAGAGAUGGGCACGCGCAAGAUUAGAUAGUUGGUGAGGUAACGGCUCACCAAGUCAAUGAUCUUUAGGGGUCCUGAGAGGGAGAUCCCCCACACUGGUACUGAGACACGGACCAGACUCCUACGGGAGGCAGCAGUGAGGAAUAUUGGACAAUGGGUGAGAGCCUGAUCCAGCCAUCCCGCGUGAAGGAUGACGGCCCUAUGGAUUGUAAACUUCUUUUGUACAGGGAUAAACCUACCCUCGUGAGGGUAGCUGAAGGUACUGUACGAAUAAGCACCGGCUAACUCCGUG
rnacentral:rRNA from 1 species